GACGAACGCUGGCGGUGUGCUUAACACAUGCAAGUCGAACGGUAAGGCCCUUUCGGGGGUACACGAGUGGCGAACGGGUGAGUAACACGUGAGUAACCUGCCCUCAUCUCUGGGAUAACAGUCGGAAACGGUUGCUAAUACUGGAUAUGAGCUUGCAAGGCAUCUUGUGGGUUGGAAAGAUUUUUUUGGUUGGGGAUGGACUCGCGGCCUAUCAGCUUGUUGUUGAGGUAGUGGCUCACCAAGGCUUCGACGGGUAGCCGGCCUGAGAGGGCGACCGGCCACAUUGGGACUGAGAUACGGCCCAAACUCCUACGGGAGGCAGCAGUGGGGAAUAUUGCACAAUGGACGGAAGUCUGAUGCAGCAACGCCGCGGGCGGGAUGACGGCCUUCGGGUUGUAAACCGCUUUCAAUUGUGACGAAGCUUUUUGUGACGGUAGCAGUAGAAGAAGCACCGGCUAACUACGUG
rnacentral:rRNA from 1 species